AGAGAAUCGCUUGAACCCAGGAGGCGAGGCUACAGUGAGCCGAGAUAGCGCCACUGCACUCCAGCCUGAGUGACAAAG
rnacentral:snRNA from 1 species